UACAGAGGUCUCAAGCGUUGUUCGGAUUCAUUGGGCGUAAAGGGUGCGUAGGCGGCGCGGUAAGUCGGGGUGUGAAAUCUUGGAAGCUUAACUCCGAAACUGCAUUCGAUACUGCCGUGCUUGAGGACUGGAGAGGAGACUGGAAUUUACGGUGUAGCGGUGAAAUGCGUAGAUAUCGUAAGGAAGACCAGUGGCGAAGGCGGGUCUCUGGACAGUUCCUGA
rnacentral:rRNA from 1 species